rnacentral:lncRNA from 1 species
GCACUUGCCUGGCAUGUGUGAGGCCUGGUUUUGAUUCUCAGCGCCGUAUAUAAGUAAAUAAAUAAAUAAAAUAAAAGAUACAUUGACAACUAAAAACAUUUUUUUUUAAAGUGCUGGUUAUGUAGCUCAUUGGUAGAGCACCCCUGGGUUCCAUCCCCAGGACCAGAAAAGGAAAGAAAGAUAAGUUGAGAACUGAGUGAGGUGGGCUGAGAGAGCACAAGAGCUCAGGCUGGGAGUUCUCUGUGUCCUGCUGGCAGUGGGACUGUGGGGACAUUUCCAGGUAGUGAGACCUUUAUUGCCAGGCUGACUGUGGCAGACUGUAUGGUUCUAGUUGAUGGUGGAGUUGUAGACUGUAGGUUUCCUGUUCUACAUGUUUUCUAGCUUCCCUUUUCUUCUCAGGUGAAGAAUCCUUCUGUCCUGUUCCCAGUCAAGUCGACGUAAAGCUGCCAUGACCAUGAUUCAGGAAGAGGCAGACCAUUCAGACACUGACCAAAGCCAGGCGACAUCAGUGAAGAAUUGUGGGAUAAUGCUGUUAGUGGCAGGUUGAGGGCUCAGGGAACCUGAAGAAGGUGGACCCUGCCUGUCCAGGAGCAGCAUGAAGAGGGGCAGCAUAUCCUGUUAGUGCAGCUUGGUCCUCUGCCCUGUCAUGAUGUUCCCUGAGGGCCACUGCUGCCCUCCUUCUGUGGGAAUAGACGGGGUAUUGCAGCUGGGCCAGUGGGCAGGGUGUCACCCAGAGGAAGUUUCCCAUGACUGUGAGACAGCACUUUGAGAAAGCUGGUUGAAGGUGGUGUCAGGAGGAAGAAGGUGAGUUUUAAUAACAGGGUCAGCACCUAGGAGCUGUCCCAGGGACAGGGCCGAGUAUGGAAGAGCCUGACUUGCCCCUGGGCUACUUGUUCCAGUCACCAGUGUCCCCUGUCAGGAUGAGCAACCUGGUUUCCUCCAGGGGACUUUUCCUAGUUUCCAAACUCUAAAUGAAGAAUGGCUACAGCCUGGCCCUGCGUCUUCUUUGUCUUUGAGUCCACAUGUUCUCUGAAGGUGGUCUUGUCCUGUUCUGUUUAUUUACUAAAGUUUUCCAAAUCCUUCUCUCCCAUUGAGGCUUUUCCUAAGGUUCAUGGAUCCUUCAGGUUCCCCAUGUCCACACCUGGGCAUGUGGUGGCCACCUUCAUGUUGACAGGCUGUCGUUCUGCCUCCCCAUUUUGUGCUGCAGUGAUUCUCUCUUUAUAGAGCAGCUCCAGGACUCCUCCCCGACUGAGCAUGUGCAAUUUGCUGAUGUCAACCUCCUGCUUUCUGAGAAGCAUGGAGGAAAUGGAAGAAAGGCAAACCCAAGUGGCAUUCAGGACUAACCAGUAGUGUUAGCACUUUUCAACCUUAGUUAGUAUAAGUUUGAACUAAUAGCCUUAGUCCAUUUUCAAACCCUGAUGAGCCUAAGUGUGAACCAAUAGCUUUCACCCAAAUGCUAUAUAAUCCCUGGACUCCCACACUCAAGUGGCAAAAGUUGUCAGGUUUCUUCUCCUUCCACUGUGGUUUGGUUUGUGCACUUGGAUGAUUCCUUUCAUACUCACUCCUCCUUGUCUAUGGACUUUUUCAGUUUGAAUCUGUGAUACAAGAAUCCAGGAAGAAGAAACUAUUGUGGAUCUGCUUUAACAUUGGAGGGCCUCUCCCACCAUUAAGAACUACAACACAUUACUGUAGACCCCACGGGACAGAGAAACUCUCCUGCCUCAGCUGCCUGCAGAAACAGAGAAUUCAGUUGCAUCUCAUACUCCAGUUUUAUAUUUUGGUGUCUAAUAAAUGGGGCAUCUUUUGGUGAGUGAAAUGGAUCAACAGACCUGUCUUUUUUUUUAGGAUUUCUGUUCUCUUUUAAUUUUUUUUCUUCAAAAAUAUCAAGUAUUUGUUAGCCUUUAGGGAAAAAAAUCUCUAUCAGAUAUCCUGGGCACUUGUUGGCCUUUUAAAAAAUAUCUCUAUCAAAAAUACCAGACACCUGGAGACCAUUUGAAAGUGCUUGGGUUUCUGGUGCACGCCUGUAAUCCCAGUGGCUUCCCCUCAGCGAUGUAAUAAGGCCCUAAGCAAUUCAGUGAGACCCUGUCUCAAUAACAACAACAACAACAACAACAACAACAACAAAAGAUUUGUGACUAUGGCUCCUUGGUUAAGCCCCCUGGUUCAAUCCCUC